CUAUACAUGCAAGUAGAACGCUGAAGAGAGGAGCUUGCUCUUCUUGGAUGAGUUGCGAACGGGUGAGUAACGCGUAGGUAACCUGCCUUGUAGCGGGGGAUAACUAUUGGAAACGAUAGCUAAUACCGCAUAACAAUGGAUGACCCAUGUCAUUUAUUUAAAAGGGGCAAAUGCUCCACUACAAGAUGGACCUGCGUUGUAUUAGCUAGUAGGUGAGGUAACGGCUCACCUAGGCGACGAUACAUAGCCGACCUGAGAGGGUGAUCGGCCACACUGGGACUGAGACACGGCCCAGACUCCUACGGGAGGCAGCAGUAGGGAAUCUUCGGCAAUGGGGGCAACCCUGACCGAGCAACGCCGCGUGAGUGAAGAAGGUUUUCGGAUCGUAAAGCUCUGUUGUAAGUCAAGAACGAGUGUGAGAGUGGAAAGUUCACACUGUGACGGUAGCUUACCAGAAAGGGACGGCUAACUACGUGCCAGCAGCCGCGGUAAUACGUAGGUCCCGAGCGUUGUCCGGAUUUAUUGGGCGUAAAGCGAGCGCAGGCGGUUUGAUAAGUCUGAAGUUAAAGGCUGUGGCUCAACCAUAGUUCGCUUUGGAAACUGUCAAACUUGAGUGCAGAAGGGGAGAGUGGAAUUCCAUGUGUAGCGGUGAAAUGCGUAGAUAUAUGGAGGAACACCGGUGGCGAAAGCGGCUCUCUGGUCUGUAACUGACGCUGAGGCUCGAAAGCGUGGGGAGCGAACAGGAUUAGAUACCCUGGUAGUCCACGCCGUAAACGAUGAGUGCUAGGUGUUGGAUCCUUUCCGGGAUUCAGUGCCGCAGCUAACGCAUUAAGCACUCCGCCUGGGGAGUACGACCGCAAGGUUGAAACUCAAAGGAAUUGACGGGGGCCCGCACAAGCGGUGGAGCAUGUGGUUUAAUUCGAAGCAAC
rnacentral:rRNA from 1 species